GACGAACGCUGGCGGCGUGCUUAACACAUGCAAGUCGAACGAUGAAGCCCAGCUUGCUGGGUGGAUUAGUGGCGAACGGGUGAGUAACACGUGGGCAACCUGCCCCAAACUCUGGGAUAACUCCUCGAAAGAGGUGCUAAUACCGGAUACGAACUAGACAGACAUCUGUCCUAGUUGGAAAGUUUUUCGGUUUGGGAUGGGCCCGCGGCCUAUCAGCUUGUUGGUGAGGUAACGGCUCACCAAGGCUACGACGGGUAACCGGCCUGAGAGGGCGACCGGUCACACUGGGACUGAGACACGGCCCAGACUCCUACGGGAGGCAGCAGUGGGGAAUAUUGCGCAAUGGGCGAAAGCCUGACGCAGCGACGCCGCGUGAGGGAUGAAGGUCUUCGGAUCGUAAACCUCUUUCAGUAGGGACGAAGCGAAAGUGACGGUACCUAAAGAAGAAGCACCGGCUAACUACGUGCCAGCAGCCGCCGUAA
rnacentral:rRNA from 1 species